rnacentral:lncRNA from 1 species
GGAGACCAUGUCCUUCAAGAAUUGAUAGGAAAUAGAGGAUGAUUUGACAAAAGAAGCAGUAUUUAAGAGGUUAUGGACAAGUUGUAUGGCAGACCUUUAGGCACAGAAUCAGAUAAGACUGAAAGCCAUCAGGAAAUCUACAAAUACAUCAUUUCAAUAUGUAAUUUCGGAACACAGAUUUAUUUUAUUUAUUUAUUUAUUUAUUAUUUUUUGGUCACUCGGUCACCCAGGGUGGAGUGCAGUGGUUCGAUCUCUCCUCACUGCAACCUCUGCCUCCCGGGUUCAAGGGAUUCUCCUGCCUCAGUCUCCCGAGUAGCUGGGAUUACAGAUGCACACCUAUCUGCCUGGCAAAUUUUCUUAUUUUUAGUAGAGACGGGGUUUCACCAUGUUGGCCAGGCUGGUCUCCAACUCCUGAACUCAGGUGAUCCACCCGCCUCAGCCUCCCAAAGUGCUGAGAUUACAGGCGUGAGCCACCACGCCUGGCCAGAUUUAUUAUUACUGUGCUGCAAAUAAUUUUUACAAUUUAUAUACAACAGCAAUAAAAUAUUUAAAAAUAGGUUUUAUGUAUGAAGUUCACUGAUAUCUCUACAUUUCAUUUGUCACUACAAAUGUAAUAAUGUGUUUGACCUAAAGUCCCGUGACAGGGCGUGGUGGCUCAUGCCAGUAAUCCCAGCACUUUGGGUGGCUGAGGUGGGAGGAUUGCUUGAGCUGGAGGGGUCGAGGCUGCAGUGUGCCACGAUCGAGACACUGCACUCCAGCAUGGGCAACAAAGCGAGUCCUUGAUUCAAAAAAACGCAAAACCAACCAACCAACCAAAAUCCUCAAUUAACUCUUCCUAUAAAUUUUGGCUAGUGUUAUGUUGGUUUUGAAUGUAUUAAUAUCCCAUCAGGUAUUGCAUAUUCAGCCUCAUCUUAAAUCUAAUCAACUAAUUACAUCAAACGAAAGCAACAUUGGCUGGGCGCAGUGACUCACGCCUGUAAUCCCAGCACUUUGGGAGACCGAGGCGGGCGGAUCACGAGGUCAGGAGUUCGAGAACAGCCUGACCAACAUAGUGAAAUCCCAUCUCUACUAAAAAUACAAAAAAUUAGCCUGGCGUGAUGGCAAGAAACCUGUAAUCCCAGCUACUCCGGAGGCUGAGGCAAGAGAAUCUCCUGAACCCGGGAGGCAGAGUUUGCAGUGAGCCGAGAUCGCGCCAUUGUGCUCUUCAGCCCGGGCGACAGUGCGAGAUUCCGUCUCAAAAAAAAAGCAAUCUUUCCAAACCAGUGCUCUUUCUUUUCUUUCUUUUCUUUUCUUUCUUUUCUUCUUUCUUUUCUUUGCUUUUCUUACUACAAUCUUAUCACCACUACUUUUCUUUUCUUCUUUUGAGACGGAAUUUUGCUCUCCUUGCCCAGGCUGGAGUGCAAUGGUGUGAUCUCGGCUCACCGCAUCCACCUCCAGAGGUGAAACGAUUCUCCUGCCACAGACUCCCGAGUAGCUGAGAUUACAGGCGCCCCCGCCACCACGCCCGGCUAAUUUUUUGUAUUUUUAGUAGAGACGGGGCUUCACCAUGUUGCCCAGGCUGGUCUCGAACUCGCGCGCUGGGAGUACAGGCGCGAGCCACCGCGCUCCGCCCCAGCGCUUUUCUUUUUCAGUACAUUUGUGAGCUGUAUGGCGCCCGGUGCUUUUUUUCUUUUUCUUUUCUAUCUUUCUUUUUUUUUUUUUUUUUUUUUUGAGACGGAGUUGCGCUCUUGUUUUCCAUGCUGGGGUGCAAUGGCGCGAUCUCGGCUCACCGCAACCUCCGCCUCCUGGGUUCAAGCGAUUCUCCUGCCUCAGGCUCCCGAGUAGGGAUUACAGGCAUGCGCCACUACGCCCGGCUAAUUUUGUAUUUUUAGUAGAGACGGGGGUUUCUCCAUGUUGGUCAGGCUGGUCUCGAACUCACGACCUCAGGUGAUCGCCCGCCUCGGCCUUCCAAAGUGUUGGGAUUACAAGCGUGAGCCACCGCACCCGG